UGUCCCGCAGGUGGGAACACUCCACAGUAACACAUUGCCUUAAAAAAAUAAAGCAAUUAACCCUCCUCCAGCAAGGUGCACCUGGACAGCCUGAUGUAUGCAGCUGCCCCACUGUAUUCACUCUGAUUUUCCUGCAGGAUGGACGAUGGUUUCCCAAGUGCCAUCGGGGACCUUGCAAGCUGCAGAUGUAGAGGAGGAGCAAUGACUUGGCCCUCCCUUUGGUAUGCUGCGGUGUGCAUCCCUGGGUCUUUUGUGCUGCAAAUUGCAAGCCUGCUGCCAGGUGAUGGAAGUGCCUGCUGGGAUGGAGGGACAGGGAGCAAGGAGCAGUGUGUGUCCCUGCCUGCUGCAGUGGCUGCUGCAGGCUGGUGUCCUGCAUGGCACUGGUAACAAGUAAAAUCACUGGGCUGGGACUGCCACAGCAACUCUGCCGAGGAACCAGCUGUCUUAGCUCUUUUAUAAAGCUGAUUUUAUUUGCUUCAUCCUGCCUAUCUGCUCUGCCUCUAAAGAGGGGCAGAACAACAUCAGCAGAGGCUGCAUUGUAAAAUCCAGCCACACUGACCACAGACAAUUUUGAUUAUUCAUCUUGCAGGAGUGCUAUUUAUCAGUAUUAACCUCGCACUGUCAUCAGAAGAUGUUCCUGCAGCCCUCUGAAAGUACCUGGCCACGUGUAAUGUGCCGCAUACAAAUAAAUGCCAUUGUAAAUGUCGAGUCAUACAGGAAGGUAAAUAAAUUGGCUUCCUGGGCUCAUUAGAGCUGAAAGCUAAGGGUUUUGUAGCAGGAUGAAGAGAAUUGCACAACGUGGUUCCAUAUGGCUUAUGAAAUGUGUAUGAAAACCAUUUUCUCCUACCCAUCCUAAUUAUGAUAUAUAAAUAGAUUUACUAUUUUCCUUUGAGUACUUACUUAGUUGAAUUUAUAUUUUUUUUAAAGGCCAAUGUAAUCACUUGUAUGAUGCAUUUCUCUAGGCCCUUAAUAGUUCUCUAAAUCAAAAUGUAAUUAUUUAUAGCAAUAACAUGACCUUUCACUAAUUGGGAAAGAAAAUGUUGCACAAUGGGUGACAGCUGUCAUGAGUGCUCAGCACUGUUAGAAGUUAUUUUGUCAUUUGGCUUUAAGUCGUAGCUGGGAUAGGUGUUUAAGUAAUGUGUAAUAAACUUUGAGAUUGUUAUGUGUGUUUAUGAGCUUUGGUGAGAAUCUGAGUGUGCUCAUGGAAGGAGAGCCAUGCGUGUGGCUCGCAGCUCAGCAGAAGGGCCGGCAGCAGACUGAAACCCAAGUGCUGUUUUAAAUGAUAUAUAAAUAACAAGUGUUAAGAGAGCAGACGUGGGCCAGCAGUGCCAGCCGGGGCCAAACUCUGUCUUUCCUAAAGUCUCAUGCCAACAGGAGGAGAAACAGAGCUGGAGGAGGCAGUAAGGACAAGACACAUCUCAAAUACAAAUCUUUUUAUUAUUCAACAUUGAGACCUCAGGGCUGAUGUUUUGGACCUCGUUGUACCAGAUACCACAGACGCAGCACAUAUGGCAGCCCUGGCUCUAGAUAGUAAGGAGAGACAGGCUACAGGACCAACAGGCACCACAAACACAGGGUGCCCCUGCCCUCCCGACCUGGCAGCAGCAGGCUGGGAGCAGUGGAAGAACUGGAGUAUGUGGGCCUACAUGAGGCAACACAGUAAACAACAGCCAGAGACAGAAUAAGUGAGUCACUCUCCUAGCGUAUUUGAAUACUGUUUAAAUAUAAACAUUGCAAAUGAAUAUCUCUAACUGAGAAAAAAAAAAUAAAAUUGGUUGCAAAAAUACACCAAUGGUAUACUGUAUAUGCAUAUAAAUACAUCGCAUGGUCUGCACAGUCAUUACAGUGUCUUCCUUCCAGACCGACUUUCUACAGGCUGAUACAGAAGUUGAAAUAAAGAAAAACAGAAGGGAAAGGUCUUCAGUGAAACACAUGUUGUUUUGGCAAAUGAUUCAUUUCCCCCCC